AUCUACAGCCAUGCCACGCUUGAUCCCUGAACACACCUGAUCCCGUCUGAUCUCAGAAGCUAAGUAGGGUCAGGCCUGGUUAGUACUUAGAUGGAAGACCACCUAGGAAGACUGGGUGCUGUAGGCA
ensembl:rRNA 5S_rRNA 5S ribosomal RNA